UACGUAGGGGGCUAGCGUUGUCCGGAAUCACUGGGCGUAAAGGGCGCGUAGGCGGAUGUUUAAGUCAGAGGUGAAAGCCCAGGGCUCAACCUUGGAACUGCCUUUGAUACUGGGCAUCUUGAGUAUGGGAGAGGUGAGUGGAACUCCGAGUGUAGAGGUGAAAUUCGUAGAUAUUCGGAAGAACACCAGUGGCGAAGGCGACUCACUGGCCCAUUACUGACGCUGAGGCGCGAAAGCGUGGGGAGCAAACAGG
rnacentral:rRNA from 1 species